UGAUGGUCUGCCGUGUGCGGACAAUAGGGAAUCGCGUGCAAAUCGCGAGCUGUCGCGCAACUGUAAGUUCCCGCCAAGAGUGGUGCCUUAUGCCAUUGGAAGCAUGAUUUCCGAGAAGGCGCGCCACAGAAGGGAGAAGCCAGGAGACCUGCCAUCGACC
rnacentral:ncRNA from 1 species